GAACUGCUGGUGCUACCACACCUGUGUUCUUUAUACUCAAUGCAUAGAAAGAGGAGGCAUACAAAACCCAUUUCAUAUAUAUCUCAGUCCCAAACCUUUGCCUAGUCUGCAUUGUGAAUAGAGGGAUAUGG